GGGCAGAAGGACGGCAGGCAGGCGCUGGGAAUGCCAGAUCCGUAUCUCCCCUCCGCGGGGCUGCGGCACCCCCGCGAAAGGCCCGAGAAGGGAGCGAGGGUGAGCGGCCGUGUGUCCUGUCCUGCUGAGAGACGUGGAUGCAAAAAGGAUGGAUUGUCCUGAUACACAGCUGGCAUCUAUGGAUCUGUGUCACAGGGAACAUCCCACAGUUCUCCAUACAACACCCUAUGUGAGGAAGAAUGGCUUGGAUAGGAGAUGCUGGGGAACAGAAUUCCUCACCCACUGGCACCUGAGACCUCCACCCUGAGUCUUCACUCGUCAUGGAAGGAUUAAUUCAGUACUGGGGCAACCAGCAGAGCUCUGAGCACUUGCUUUUCACAGGAGCAUUUCAUGUGUAGAACCAGCAGCUGAAACUGAGCCCCAACACUCCCCACCUACUUAACCUCCAUGUUAUAAAAAAAAACUAUUACCAGCAGAACACUAAAUGACUGCAAUACUUGCAACAGUUAAAAUUACAAGUCAAAAAGUCAGUUGCUGCAUUCCCUAGAAAGUGUUAACUCGCCCUUUUUAUGUACUGUAACCUGUUCUUGCUUCCCUGUUGAGUUUAUAGCAUAAUACUCUUUUUUGCAGACUGUUAAAACCGCUCCAUAAAACACCCGACACGUUUAACAAUGUCCAAGUUAAUUAUGAAAGAUUUCAUGGCCUACCAGGUUUGUUAAAUCACAGCUGGUGUAAACCACCAAAGGUCCACUGACUUCAAAGCUGUGCAGUUGUUUAUGCCAGUAUAAUAGCUGCAUCUUUGCCCUUUUUAUUUUCUUCUAGCUCUCAGCUUCUGUCCCAGAACCCCAUAUAGGCACAUUAGAAGCAACUGGAAAGCAGACUCUCUCACCUGCUUCAGUUUACAUCCAAGCUGAGCUGUGAGCUGAACUGAAAGUCAAGAGCAUUAAAUGGGGUGCAAAGCAGAAAUUGCCUUGAAAAUCCCCAGAAAUUCUGUGCUCUAAACAAGAUUUCCCAAGUGCUGUUUUGUCUUCUGAUACUCCUCACAAGCUCAGCCAAAAAGAUUCUGAUGAUGUACCUAACCUUGAAGCAUCUCUGGAGAUUUUCUGGCUUGUGAUAACCUGCUAACAUUUUUCUCUAUGCUGCUUUCAGAAAUAUUCUUAUAAUACACAACCCUGAAUCACCAGACUUUCAUUACCAUCCUAUUUUACAGAACCUGCACUUGUAAAGGGUGAAGUUCCACAGCUGACAAAACAUUAGUCACAAAGCAAUAGAACACCAUUUACCUAGUUGCUCUAAAAUAUGUUUCUAAAACUUGGAGCAAUUUUGCUGUGAUGUAAAUCUUUGAGCCACAAUACCUCUUGGAAUGAAUUGUUAACUCUUAAUGGGAAAAAAAAAACCAAACAGAACUGUUACAUUUCAGAGAAGCUUGUUCGAAUUUAAUUUUCUUAAUGUUGCUCAUCUGAAAAAAUAACAUGGAUAAUGGAAGGAAGAGCCUGUUAGUCUCCUACAAUCCAUGAGCUGCCUCAGCACAACUUCUGAAGUCAAUCUAAGAACAAAUGUCCUCCAUGCUCACAAAGCUCAAGCUGAAUCACAGAAGCUCAAAGCUAUUCUGGCCUAUCCAAACUCUUAUGCUGCUUAAUCAAUGAUUAUAAUAAGCAUUUCCCAACAUCAUUCUCUUGAAAAAAACCCAAAACAACAGAGCAGCAUUCUCCAGGAACUAAGAGCAGCCUGGGAUUUGGGAUUUAGGGGAGAGCUACAAAGGGCUCCACUGAUGGUCCUGGCACUCUGAGGCAAGGAAAGCACUCAAGGGUAAAGCACUUGGCUGUCUGGGAGGCAAUCUGCUCUAACAGGGCGCCUGCUGAGCAAUCAGAAACAACAUUUACCAACCUCCCCACCAGAAGACAUUGCUAGAAGCAAAAAGGCAUUGUCAGAGAAAGGUAGGAGGUUAAACAGAGGAGGAAAAAUGGCUUUUAUGAGACCACCACGGGCGACACGUUGGUAUUUAUCAGCAAAACAGCCAGCAGGAGGAGGAGAGGGAGAAACAGCCAAUGUUUGACUGUUCCAGAGUAUUCCUUACUCCCCUUCCAUAUCAGACAUCAAGCUCCACAACACCCAAGAGUCCUCUCAUUUUAGGAAAAGGGAGAUGAAUGGGACUAAUGGGUCAGAGUGAGAGGGCCCAAUCACACUUUGGUUACAGGCAUUCCAUAGCUUUGGUGAGAGUUCAAAUAGGCCCUUGGAAAGCAAAUAGCAAUUUAUCUUGCAAUUGUCUUUUUAUGGGAUUAUGCAAGGGUUUCGAUGAAACAGCUGAUGAUGAAUUUAGGUUUCAACACUCAUUUUCCCAGCGGCCUUGUAAAUAUAUAAAAGGUCAUGACAUAGUUGGAAAGAAGGAAGAGCAAUUAUUGUAAAGAAAGCUCAUGCUCCAGAGCAGCCAGCAGCUACAGAACUGCGAGCACAAAGCUAGGAGUGAACAUCACAGAUUGUAAUAAAAAAAUACCUUGACUUCUCUACACACAGUGGGAUUUGCAGCAGUCAUAGGGAAUACCUGGCAUGUGAUCAUUUGAAUUAAUAUUCCCUUAUCAGUGUUACCACUAUUUCACAGACUAUCUGCAAGCAGAUGUACUUUAACUGACAUCUACAUUCAGAUUAAUUUGGUAAGCAAAUUUAUUUUUUCAACAGAAAAACCAGGAAUAAUAGAUGUCAUUUGCUUUUACAGUGCCAAGAAGAUGUUAAGUGAUGUAUAAACUUGUAAUACACCAGGAAUUCAAGCAGGAGCGUGGCCUCGUUUUGCACAUACACAUUUUGAGAGGUUGGGACUGUUUGUUACCAUCUAAGUCAGUGACACAGAAAGAAAGUUGCUCAAAAUGAGCAUUAUCACUCCCCUAAGAGACCACGAUCUUACAAGAAGUCUUAGACAAGCCGAGACCAGAGUCCAGAUUUCCAAGAAACCUAAUCAAAUACCAUGUUCUCCUCCGUGCCUCACAACACUGAUAAAAACAAAAAGAGAUAUUUUAGAUAUGUUGCAAUAGCAAGAAUCAGAGCCGUGUAGGGUGGGGGAAAGGAUCUUGUGAUCAGUGUCAUAUAAACAUCAAUCAGUGGCCGGUGUUUGAUAAAUAUUGGUAUAUUUUAUUGUCAGUAAAAUCCUAGUCAUUGAUACCAUCUCCAAGCUGGCAUAACAGGAGUUAUUUUUGAAGGAGGAUUUGAAUUCAAGCAUUGCUGCGUUGCAGACUAGUUCAGGAAAAGUCCGUAAAAUAGAGGAGAAACAGGAAUGUGACUUCAGCUUGGCAUUUCAAAGUCAUCCCAAAUUCAGUAACAUGAGCUCAUCACCACGGAGCCAGAGCAGUGUCAGUCCUGCUGCAAACCCAAGUGCCUGAUCAUGUGCAGCCCUGAUCCUCCUUGGCACUUCCCUGAUUUCCUCUGAGCUGGAGGUACUGAUUGCUUUCGGGGAUCAGUUCAUAAAAGGGGAUUCACAGGCAGAAAUGGGACACGGGAGCUCAAGAGGCCCUUAGCACGGGCCUUUUUACAUGGAA